UACGUAGGGUGCAAGCGUUGUCCGGAAUUAUUGGGCGUAAAGAGCUCGUAGGCGGUUUGUCGCGUUUGCUGUGAAAUCCCGAGGCUCAACCUCGGGCCUGCAGUGGGUACGGGCAGACUAGAGUGUGGUAGGGGAGACUGGAAUUCCUGGUGUAGCGGUGGAAUGCGCAGAUAUCAGGAGGAACACCGAUGGCGAAGGCAGGUCUCUGGGCCACUACUGACGCUGAGGAGCGAAAGCAUGGGGAGCGAACAGG
rnacentral:rRNA from 1 species